AAUCAACGCUGGCGGCGUGCCUAACACAUGCAAGUCGAACGCGAAAGCCCCUUCGGGGGUAAGUAGAGUGGCGUCCGGGUGAGUAACACGUAGGUAGUCUACCUUCGGGUGGGGAAUAACUCGCCGAAAGGCGAGCUAAUACCGCAUAAUGCAGCGGCACCUAAUGGUGAUUAGUUGUUAAAGCGGGGGAUCGUAAGACCUCGCGCCUGAAGAGGAGCCUGCGGCAGAUUAGCUAGUUGGGA
rnacentral:rRNA from 1 species